rnacentral:rRNA from 1 species
CAGCACCUCAAGUGGUCAGGAUGAUUAUUGGGCCUAAAGCAUCCGUAGCCUGCUUUGUCAGUUUUCGGUUAAAUCCAUACGCUCAACGUAUGGGCUGCCGGGAAUACUGCAAAGCUAGGGAGUGGGAGAGGUAGACGGUACUCGGUAGGAAGGGGUAAAAUCCUUUGAUCUAUUGAUGACCACCUGUGGCGAAGGCGGUCUACCAGAACACGUCCGACGGUGAGGGAUGAAAGCUGGGGGAGCGAACCGGAUUAGAUACCCGAGUAGUCC